UUUGGCGCCAUCUCAUUAAUAAAAACUUUAAAAAUACAAGAGGACACUCCCUCAUAAUCCGGCAUUGACAUACCACGUGCCGGUCAUUCACCCUCUACCAUUAUUGUGCAUGUUCUUCCUUGUUCAACCUUAUUUCAUUCUCUCUCAGGCAGCCUUCACCUCACCUCCUCACCCAAAUCCUUGGAAUUUCUUCCCAUUGUUUGCAAUUCAAGCACUUGCCAUGUCAAUUGAAGACAACUCGACCAAUAUAAGAUUUGCAUCAAUCAUGACUUCCUUUGAACAUAUAUAGGUGUGGGUUUCCUGUUACGAAAAAGACUUAUUUGAUCAACUAUACUAUCGUCUUCAUGGUGGUUCUCUCGUAUACUCUCGUAUACUCUCGUCUUCAUGGUGAUUCUCUUGUAACGGCUGCUACGUCAGGAAAACUAGAACAUUUCAAUGGCGUUUUCACGGUGGUUAUCUCGUAUACGCUCGUCUUUCCAACAUCCUGGAACAUCCCAGUUUCAUAAACCCAAUUUCUAUGGUGGUCUUCUUAGCUUCACUUAUGCUGCAAUUUCAAUCAAAAUAUUUUUGGAUAGUGAUAGCAAGCUUUGAUUUUGCUUCUUGUUAAGGGCUCGUUCCGGUAUCAUUAUUUAUUUAUUUUUUUCAGUUUUCUGCUUUUUACAAAAUAUGAAAACUUUUCAGA